rnacentral:rRNA from 1 species
AUUGAACGCUGGCGGCAGGCCUAACACAUGCAAGUCGAGCGGAGCGGCGGACGGGUGAGUAAUGCCUAGGAAUCUGCCUGGUAGUGGGGGAUAACGUCCGGAAACGGGCGCUAAUACCGCAUACUAUCAGAUGAGCCGCUGUCGGAUUAGCUAGUGGGCGGGGUAAAGGCCCACCAAGGCGACGAUCCGUAGCUGGUCUGAGAGGAUGAUCAGCCACACUGGAACUGAGACACGGUCCAGACUCCUACGGGAGGCAGCAGUGGGGAAUAUUGGACAAUGGGCGCAAGCCUGAUGCAGCCAUGCCGCGUGUAUGAAGAAGGCCUUCGGGUUGUAAAGCACUUUAAGUUGGGAGGCGUUACCAACAGAAUAAGCACCGGCUAACUUCGUGCCAGCAGCCGCGGUAAUUC